UAAAGCAGAUCUCCGGUAGGGAACUAUC
rnacentral:sRNA from 1 species